CACGUAGUUAGCCGGUGCUUAUUCUUCAGGUACCGUCAUUAGCAAAGGAUAUUAGCCCUCACCGUUUCUUCCCUGACAAAAGAGCUUUACAACCCGAAGGCCUUCUUCACUCACGCGGCAUUGCUGGAUCAGGCUUGCGCCCAUUGUCCAAAAUUCCCCACUGCUGCCUCCCGUAGGAGUCUGGACCGUGUCUCAGUUCCAGUGUGGCUGGUCGUCCUCUCAGACCAGCUACUGAUCGUCGCCUUGGUGAGCCUUUACCUCACCAACUAGCUAAUCAGAUAUCGGCCGCUCUAAAAGCAUAAGGCCCGAAGGUCCCCUACUUUCAUCCGUGGAUCGUAUGCGGUAUUAGCGUAACUUUCGCUACGUUAUCCCCCACUUCUAGGUACGUUCCGAUAUAUUACUCACCCGUUCGCCACUCGUCAGCGGAGCAAGCUCCCUGUUACCGUUCGACUUGCAUGUGUAAAGCAUGCCGCCAGCGUUCAAUCUGAGCCAGGAUCAAACU
rnacentral:rRNA from 1 species